GGGAUUGUGGCUCAGCAGUAGAGCACUUGUCUAGCAUGCACGAGGCUCUGGGUUCCAUUCUCAGCACCA
rnacentral:tRNA from 1 species